AUGCCUACGCCUGGUAUUUGCAGGCUGAGGCUUGGUGCUGCUGCACUAAUCAGGACACCAUGCCCAAAUCGAAUCAGUGCGUUCGACAAGGCUGUCAAAUGUUUUGCAGAGAAACCGGCUGAAAAUGUGAUCACACCUGUUCUCGGCAUUACAUUCGACUCCUUGGGCGAGGCUUCUGGUGAUGCUCUCACUGAUUUGUUAAACUUCACGAUGUACAUGCACGCAAUGGAACUAGUCAGGCUGGGCAACACUAGUUUUGAAGCCUACAAUCAAUUGAUGGAGUUGUUCAAGUCGAAUUUGACAGUGAUGUUACCCUAUGCAGAAGUUAGGGAUGGUCUUGGCCUCGAGGAUAGACUGGCAGACAGGGGGGCUGUGGUGAAUCAGACUCCCAUGGAGCUGGUUUCGGCGGAACAAAACAUGAACGCCAAAGCAGCUACUGCUGUUUUAACUAACAAUGAUUCGGUUUCGAGGACAAGCAACAGGUUGGAAGGACUGCUGGCUCCAGCGAAAAAGAAAGAUAUGGGAUGGCCAACGACAAGUACGGAGAAGGCUCCAUAUGAAGGUCUAAGCAAGAGGACUAGGUUUUGCACGAUAUGCUGA
rnacentral:rRNA from 1 species